GAUGAACGCUGGCGGCGUGCCUAAUACAUGCAAGUCGAGCGAACAGAUAAGGAGCUUGCUCCUUUGAAGUUAGCGGCGGACGGGUGAGUAACACGUGGGUAACCUACCUAUAAGACUGGGAUAACUUCGGGAAACCGGAGCUAAUACCGGAUAACAUUUAGAACCGCAUGGUUCUAAAGUGAAAGAUGGUUUUGCUAUCACUUAUAGAUGGACCCGCGCCGUAUUAGCUAGUUGGUAAGGUAACGGCUUACCAAGGCGACGAUACGUAGCCGACCUGAGAGGGUGAUCGGCCACACUGGAACUGAGACACGGUCCAGACUCCUACGGUAGGCAGCAGUAGGGAAUCUUCCGCAAAGGGCGAAAGCCUGACGGAGCAACGCCGCGUGAGUGAUGAAGGGUUUCGGCUCGUAAAACUCUGUUAUUAGGGAAGAACAAAUGUGUAAGUAACUGUGCACAUCUUGACGGUACCUAAUCAGAAAGCCACGGCUAACUACGUG
rnacentral:rRNA from 1 species